AUUGAACGCUGGCGGCAUGCCUAAUACAUGCAAGUCGAGCGGACGAACGGAGCUCGUUCUUCUCUUCCGUGGCGGACGGGCGAGUAAUUCAUAGGAGUAUGCCCGGCCGAGGGGGCUAAGGUCAGGUCACGGGCGCUAAUCUCGCACCCGUUCAUAGGUAGAACGUGAGGGUUCUAUGGUGCACACGCGAUUUGAUGAGCCUAGGUCGGAUUAGCUAGUUGGUGAGGUAAAGGCCUACCAAGGCGACGAUCCGUAACUGAUCUGAGAGGGUGAUCAGUCACACUGGAACUGAGACACGGUCCAGACUCCUACGGGAGGCAGCAGUAGGGAAUAUUGGGCAAUGGGCGAAAGCCUGAUCCAGCAAUGCCGCGUGAGUGAAGAAGGUCUUCGGAUUGUAAAGCUCUGUUAGUAGGGAGGAAGGAAAGUAUAAGAAUACCUGCCUGUUUUGACGUUACCAACAGAGAAAGCACCGGCUAACUUCGUG
rnacentral:rRNA from 1 species